CCUACGGUGCGCUGCAGUGGGGAAUAUUGGACAAUGGGCGAAAGCCUGAUCCAGCCAUGCCGCGUGUGUGAAGAAGGCCUUCGGGUUGUAAAGCACUUUCAGUGGGGAAGAAAGCCUUGGGGCUAAUACCCUCGAGGAAGGACAUCACCCACAGAAGAAGCACCGGCUAACUCCGUGCCAGCAGCCGCGGUAAUACGGAGGGUGCGAGCGUUAAUCGGAAUUACUGGGCGUAAAGCGCGCGUAGGCGGUCUGAUAAGCCGGUUGUGAAAGCCCCGGGCUCAACCUGGGAACGGCAUCCGGAACUGUCAGGCUAGAGUGCAGGAGAGGAAGGUAGAAUUCCCGGUGUAGCGGUGAAAUGCGUAGAGAUCGGGAGGAAUACCAGUGGCGAAGGCGGCCUUCUGGACUGACACUGACGCUGAGGUGCGAAAGCGUGGGUAGCAAACAGGAUUAGAUACCCGGCUAGUC
rnacentral:rRNA from 1 species